AAUUUAAUUUGCAUAUAGAUCAACGUGGUAGCAAUGAAUAAUGAUGUAAAAUAUACUGUUUUACAGGUUUCAACAUUGCAUACAGACGACAGAGAAAAAGUAAGAUAGGUCCACAGCACAAGAUUUCAAAAGAGGAAGCCAUGAAAUGGUUUCAGCAGAAGUAUGAUGGUAUCAUUCUUCCUGGAAAGUAAAA